UAAUACAAAAAUACAAAAUGAUAUGAAAUGUUUAAUUUUAACGUAUCAUUACAGUGUCUGAUGAAUCAAGUGUUUUGGAUGGUGCAGGAAACGAAACAGCAGAGGAGGAUCUGGAAGAUGUAAGCCUAGUGGCGUUUCUUCAAGAUGAUGAUGACAAUGAUGAUGUUGCUGCGGAUUUGGUUGGAGAUGUUGAUGACAGUCUACCGGUUGCACCAGCUAUCUCUAAAGAGAUAAAAUCGCUCACCCCGAAAACCAGUAAGGACAUGAAGAAGUCAAAAACGGGUUCAAAAAUAGAUGCUGUUGUUACCCCGGCUGCUGCACCUGGUGCAAAAAAGCGAAAACCAUCCAGCUCACCAGAAGAGAAUCA